rnacentral:misc_RNA from 1 species
UAGAUCUUCAAGCACACAUAUUGAAGGAAUAUCUCCAUUGAAAAACUUGAUAAAGGCAGGUGGAAUUCUCAGUUGGGGGUAGCAUAUUUCAGGGUGAAAAAUCUUAAAGAACUCAGGGAGGUCAUGAGGGAUAGAUACAUGCUCCACUGGUGUCACCAUUUUGUUGUUCACUUUCUUUCUCUGCCUAAAUCUCAUACUUAUACACCUAAAAUGAUUAGCUCAAUUUCUUAUCGUAGUUCACUCUUUGUAUUCUAGCUCUCAUUAUUGCUCAGGUUUAUAGAGGAAGGAGAUGGGGUCGACCCAUUUUCGGACCCG